UAAAGGCUACAUUUCCAGACAUUUUCCUUGAUGCAUUUAUAAAUGUUUGUAGUGUCAAAGGUACCUUGGAAAAGCUGACCGAACUGUUUCUGCAGUAGCAUAUUUCAUUGGUAAGCUUACUUUGAAAAUGAAAACUGGAUUCCACUCUGCAUAUCCCACUUCACAAUCAGCUUCAAGUAUUUGAUUUCCAGCAACAUCCCACAGAACGGAAUGUGCCAUUGAGGAGAAAGCAUAUACAGCAGCUGCAGUCUCCCAGCAGAAUCUGUUGUACAGCUUCAUGACUGACAAAUGCAAAAGGAAGAUGCCAGAGGCAUAUUUGCUGCUGAAAGAUGAAAUUUGUGCUUUCAUAUUUGAACUGUCAGCUGUAAGCAGUUAGUAGACUUUGUGAUCAUUCAUCUCAUAGCAAUCACUAAACAUCCAACUGAUGGCGAUGAUUUCUCUGUUAUACUUCUGUUGGUUUAUUCAGACUACAUCCUUCUGUAUCUGGAGUAGUCCAUUACCUGUGACCUGGCAAUAUAUCCC
rnacentral:lncRNA from 1 species